rnacentral:rRNA from 1 species
AGAGUUUGAUCCUGGCUCAGGAUGAACGCUAGCUACAGGCUUAACACAUGCAAGUCGAGGGGCAGCAUGGAAGAAGCUUGCUUCUUCUGAUGGCGACCGGCGCACGGGUGCGUAACGCGUAUCAAACCUGCCUCAUACUCGGGGAUAGCCUUGCGAAAGUAAGAUUAAUACCCGAUGUUGUUGCUUUCUCGCAUGGGAGAGUAACCAAAGAUUUAUCGGUAUGAGAUGGUGAUGCGUCCGAUUAGGUAGUAGGCGGGGUAACGGCCCACCUAGCCUUCGAUCGGUAGGGGUUCUGAGAGGAAGGUCCCCCACACUGGAACUGAGACACGGUCCAGACUCCUACGGGAGGCAGCAGUGAGGAAUAUUGGUCAAUGGGCGAGAGCCUGAACCAGCCAAGUAGCGUGCAGGAUGACGGCCCUAUGGGUUGUAAACUGCUUUUGUAUGGGGAUAAAGUUAGGGACGUGUCCCUAUUUGCAGGUACCAUACGAAUAAGGACCGGCUAAUUCCGUGCCAGCAGCCGCGGUAAUACGGAAGGUCCAGGCGUUAUCCGGAUUUAUUGGGUUUAAAGGGAGCGUAGGCCGGAGAUUAAGUGUGUUGUGAAAUGUAGACGCUCAACGUCUGACUUGCAGCGCAUACUGGUUUCCUUGAGUACGCACAACGUUGGCGGAAUUCGUCGUGUAGCGGUGAAAUGCUUAGAUAUGACGAAGAACUCCGAUUGCGAAGGCAGCUGACGGGAGCGCAACUGACGCUUAAGCUCGAAGGUGCGGGUAUCGAACAGGAUUAGAUACCCUGGUAGUCCGCACAGUAAACGAUGGAUGCUCGCUGUUGGCCUUUUUGGUCAGUGGCUUAGCGAAAGCGUUAAGCAUCCCACCUGGGGAGUACGCCGGCAACGGUGAAACUCAAAGGAAUUGACGGGGGCCCG